rnacentral:rRNA from 1 species
CAGCCCCGCGGUAAUACCGGCGGCCCGAGUGGCGGUCACUAUUAUUGGGCUUAAAGCGUCCGUAGCCGGGUUGGGAAGUCCUCCGGGAAAUCUGGCCGCUUAACGGUCAGAAUGCCGGAGGAUACUCCCAGCCUAGGGAGCGGGGGAGGCCGAGGGUAUUCCCGGAGUAGGGGUGAAAUCCUAUAAUCCCGGGAGGACCACCUGUGGCGAAGGCGCUCGGCUGGAACGCGUCCGACGGUGAGGGACGAAGGCCAGGGGAGCAAACCGGAUUAGAUACCCGGGUAGUCCUGGCGGUAAACGAUGCGGACUUUGUGUCGGACAAGCUAUGAGCUUGUCCGGUGCCGGAGGGAAACCGUUAAGUCCGCCGCCUGGGGAGUACGGCCGCAAGGCUGAAACUUAAAGGAAUUGGCGGG